CGACUUUGUUACCGUCAACAUUAAACACAACAGCAAGAUACUUGGAAAGGACUUUCUCGUUCGAACAAACAUAAUGGAAGCGUAUUCUACACGCACAUAUUCACUCGGGCCAACCGUGUGACUCAUUUGGAAAAAGGACUCAUCGUCGGUUUCAUGGCAGCGAAGUGAGCAGACAAAAAAGGCAUCGUUUUUUUUUUUCCACAUGAUCGUUCUGAGCAAAAUUCAGCGAUUUGCCAGGCAUAAACCACCGAUGAGACAGUACCCGUUCGGAUUCAGGACGUUUUCCCAUACAUUGUACCCGGUCGAAGCGAUGGCAAGCGAUGCAGAUAACUGGGUCAAAAAGGCGGAGGUUCUGGGAAUUUCUGCACUCGUUAGCGAUCUGAGUAUGACCAAGGACAAGGAAUCAGAACCGGCGACUGACAGUCCAGAGAAAGAGAAUGCGGAAAAACCUUCUAGUCCAUAGCUCCUGAAGAAAAACGAGCUGAAGCGAAUAUGGAGAAACAGCUUCCUCCACGGAAAAUGCAGAGGCAUGCAACGCGGCGGAUGCAAGUUUGCUAAUUGAAAUUAUUCGCAAAGAUCUAGUAGAAUUAAAACUGGAGGUGCUGCGAAACGAUCCUUUUUCGACGCUAUACUCGGUUAAAACUAUCGACGCUUUGCACCUGAUGCCGGAACUGCCCACCCCGAGAGCAGAUGAGCGCUGGGGAAUGUUUUCAGCCACCUGGAGGAGGAAGUUCAGCGCGGAAGAAAUGUUACCAGACUUCGCCGAUCUGGUAUCUGGAC